GGAGACGUGGCCGAGAGGCUGAAGGCACUCGUUUGCUAAAUGAGCAUACCCCAUAAGGGUAUCGAGGGUUCGAAUCCCUCCGUCUCCG
rnacentral:tRNA from 1 species